rnacentral:rRNA from 1 species
AUGAGCUUACGAAGCUGCUGUUUUGGAGUUGUGUGCCGCAAUAUGAGUAGUAAAUUUGUGAACCUGCUAUGUAAUGUUCAGGUUCCAGGAAGGAAAUUUGUGCGCCGCUAUCCGGAACCUCCUCUGCUUUCUCUGAAACAGGGUUGCCAUGUGAAGAAAAAGGAUAUGUGGGAGCUUUUGAAUGGACAAAGGCUUCAGCAAGGAAGAGAAGACGGCUGCAUUUCCUUACUUGCAAUUCUAGUAACUAUCUUUGUUAUAACUUGUAGAGUGUACCUGCAAAAAAAACUUGUAGAGUGUGAUGGAUUAAUUAGGAUGCUAUGUAAUCAGAGUACGUACCCUAUCAUAUGUAUCAUGACUGAUUGUGAUCAGGGUCUGCAUUCUAUGAAGAAGGCACCCAUUUAUAUGUUUAUUAGUGACAUUGUGUUGUGCUUGCUCUACUACUUCUGUACAUUAUUUGUGGAAUUGGUCUUGUUGUUCACCAUUGCUGAAAAUCUGUUUCAGUUAGCGUGCCCUUAUGUAGCACUAUUUCAAAUGGAGUUGGUCGCGUCCUCCUGCUCAUUUUUUAUGCCAACGAACAUUGUUGUCGCCUGA